rnacentral:rRNA from 1 species
UACGUAGGGGGCGAGCGUUGUCCGAAGUUACUGGGCGUAAAGCGCGUGUAGGCGGUCCGGUAAGUCCGCUGUGAAAGUCGGGGGCUCAACCCUCGGAUGCCGGUGGAUACUGUCGGGCUUGAGUACGGAAGAGGCGAGUGGAAUUCCUGGUGUAGCGGUGAAAUGCGCAGAUAUCAGGAGGAACACCAAUUGCGAAGGCAGCUCGCUGGGACGUUACUGACGCUGAGACGCGAAAGCGUGGGGAGCAAACAGG